rnacentral:rRNA from 1 species
GAUGAAGGCUGGCGGCGUGCCUAAUACAUGCAAGUCGAGCGAACAGACGAGGAGCUUGCUCCUCUGACGUUAGCGGCGGACGGGUGAGUAACACGUGGAUAACCCACCUAUAAGACUGGGAUAACUUCGGGAAACCGGCUCUAAUACGGGAUAAUAUAUUGAACCGCAUGGUUCGAUAGUGAAAGACGGUGUUGCUGUCACUACUAGCGGGUUCCGCGCCGCAUUGGCUAGUUGGUAAGCUAAAGGCCUACCAAGGCAACGAGGCGUAGACGAGCUGAGAGGGGGAUCGGCCACCAGGGAGGUGAGACACGGUCCAGAGUCCUACGGGAGGCAGCAGUAGGGAAUCUGACGCAAUGGGCGAAAGCCUGACGGAGCAACGGCGCGCGAGUGAUGAAGGUCUUCGGAUCGUAAAACUCGGUUAUUAGGGAAGAACAAAUGUGGAAGGAACUAUGGACGUAUUGACGGUACCGAAUAAGAAAGCCACGGCUAACUACGUG